rnacentral:rRNA from 1 species
AGAAUCAACGCUGGCGGCGUGCCUAACACAUGCAAGUCGAACGAGAAAGUGGAGCAAUCCAUGAGUAAAGUGGCGCACGGGUGAGUAACACGUGACUAACCUACCCUUGAGUGGGGGAUAACCUAGGGAAACCUGGGCUAAUACCGCAUAAUACCUUCGGGUCAAAGGAGCAAUUCGCUUAAGGAGGGGGUCGCGGCCGAUUAGUUAGUUGGCGGGGUAAUGGCCCACCAAGACUAUGAUCGGUAUCCGGCCUGAGAGGGCGCACGGACACACUGGAACUGAAACACGGUCCAGACUCCUACGGGAGGCAGCAGUGGGGAAUUUUGCGCAAUGGGGGAAACCCUGACGCAGCAACGCCGCGUGGAGGAUGAAGUCCCUUGGGACGUAAACUCCUUUCGAUCGGGACGAUUAUGACGGUACCGAGAGAAGAAGCCCGGCUAACUUCGUGCCAGCAGCCGC